GGAUGAACGCUGGCGGCGUGCUUAACACAUGCAAGUCGAACGAUGAAAGCGGGAGCUUGCUCCUGCUGGAUUAGUGGCGAACGGGUGAGUAACACGUGAGUAACCUGCCCUUGACUCUGGGAUAAGCGUUGGAAACGACGUCUAAUACCGGAUACGACCUUCGGAGGCAUCUCCUGGGGGUGGAAAGAAUUUCGGUCAAGGAUGGACUCGCGGCCUAUCAGCUAGUUGGUGAGGUAAUGGCUCACCAAGGCGACGACGGGUAGCCGGCCUGAGAGGGUGACCGGCCACACUGGGACUGAGACACGGCCCAGACUCCUACGGGAGGCAGCAGUGGGGAAUAUUGCACAAUGGGCGAAAGCCUGAUGCAGCAACGCCGCGUGAGGGACGACGGCCUUCGGGUUGUAAACCUCUUUUAGUAGGGAAGAAGCGAAGGUGACGGUACCUGCAGAAAAAGCACCGGCUACCUACGUGCCAGCAGCCGCGGUAAUACGUAGGGUGCAAGCGUUAUCCGGAAUUAUUGGGCGUAAAGAGCUCGUAGGCGGUUUGUCACGUCUGCUGUGAAAACUGGAGGCUCAACCUCCAGCCUGCAGUGGGUACGGGCAGACUAGAGUGCGGUAGGGGAGAUUGGAAUUCCUGGUGUAGCGGUGGAAUGCGCAGAUAUCAGGAGGAACACCGAUGGCGAAGGCAGAUCUCUGGGCCGUAACUGACGCUGAGGAGCGAAAGCAUGGGGAGCGAACAGGAUUAGAUACCCUGGUAGUCCAUGCCGUAAACGUUGGGAACUAGAUGUAGGGACCAUUCCACGGUUUCUGUGUCGCAGCUAACGCAUUAAGUUCCCCGCCUGGGGAGUACGGCCGCAAGGCUAAAACUCAAAGGAAUUGACGGGGGCCCGCACAAGCGGCGGAGCAUGCGGAUUAAUUCGAUGCAACGCGAAGAACCUUACCAAGGCUUGACAUAUACCGGAAAAGUUCAGAAAUGUUCUCCCCGCAAGGUCGGUAUACAGGUGGUGCAUGGUUGUCGUCAGCUCGUGUCGUGAGAUGUUGGGUUAAGUCCCGCAACGAGCGCAACCCUCGUUCUAUGUUGCCAGNNNNUAAUGGUGGGAACUCAUAGGAGACUGCCGGGGUCAACUCGGAGGAAGGUGGGGAUGACGUCAAAUCAUCAUGCCCCUUAUGUCUUGGGCUUCACGCAUGCUACAAUGGCCGAUACAAAGGGCUGCAAUACCGUAAGGUGGAGCGAAUCCCAAAAAGUCGGUCUCAGUUCGGAUUGAGGUCUGCAACUCGACCUCAUGAAGUCGGAGUCGCUAGUAAUCGCAGAUCAGCAACGCUGCGGUGAAUACGUUCCCGGGCCU
rnacentral:rRNA from 1 species